rnacentral:rRNA from 1 species
AUGGCCUUCAAGAUGCACCACGGGCAUUUUGAGUUCAAGGUUAUGUCGUAUGGGGUCACCGGGGAGCACAACCUGAAGAUUAACCGUGGCAAGUGCUCCUUUGCUGGCCCAAGCCUGUUGUACCUGGGGCAUGAGAGCAGUGAGGAUGUCUUCUGCAUGGAUGUGAAGAACAUCUCGGCUAUGCAGAAUUGGCCGAAGCACACCACUGUCAAGGAAGCAAGGGGUUUCCUUGGCCUCGUGGGGUAUUACCGAAAGAUUGUCCGUGGUUUUGCUGUCAUUUGCCGCCCAUUGACGGAUCUGCUCAAGAAGGGGGUUGUUUUUCGUUCGACUGAGGAGGAUGAGGGGUCUUUUCGUGCCCUGCAGCAAGCUUUAAUCAGCGAUCCCAUCUUGGCGCUGCCCAAUUUCAAGAAGCCUUUCGAAUUGGAGACCGACGCGUUGCCCAUACCACCACAAGGGGAUCUAGCGGCGAUUACAUCUGUUGUACCCGCCUGGCUUGAGGAGCUGCAAACAGAAUACCAGGAUGACCCCGGAGCACAGUGCAUUCUCACCAGGCUCGCUGCCGCACCGGAAGGAUUUGAUGGGUUGCUUCAAGACGGCAUCAUCGGGCACAGGGGCCGGGUCUGGCUGGGGGACAAUGUUCAGCUCCAAAAUGCUACAUAUCACCCGGUGCCACGCCUAUUCACCUGGCCUGACCUUAAACACCAUGUCAAGCUGUUCGUGGAGGCGUGCCAGACCUGCAAGCAAGCCGAGCCAUUGCUCGCUUUCAUGUCCCAGGUCUACAAACUCCAUGGCCUGCCGGAGUCCGUCGUCUCCGAUCACGACCUCGUCUUCAGAAGUGUCCUAUGGAAGGAGUUGUUGCGCCUGACUCACACCAAGCUCUGGAUGAGUACCGCUCACCACCCGCAAAAGCAGGCAAACAGAGUGCGUGAACUAGUGUUGGGAGACCUUACUGCACUGCUUCGUCCAUGCUUUCCCUACAAAAUGCUCUGGGCAUGCCUCCUUUCAAGGUACUAUAUGCUCCGUGUCAUUUCGGCAUCAUCGACCCCAUGGCUUGCGCCUCACAAGACUUGGCCGACUGGCUCCAGGACCGCGCCCAGAUGA